CCAUCAUACAGCCCCCCGGAAUGGACCCGCUUUGGCUGGUACCAUGGCGAGCCAGCUACCAUCUGGUCCCUGGGCAUCCUGCUGCAUGAGAUGGUCUGUGGGAAGAUGCCUUUCAGGAGGGGCUGGAACUUCAGCUGGGGCCAGCUCUCACUGCCACAACGGCUCUCUCCAGAGUGCCAAAAUCUGAUUGGGUGGUGUUUAUCCAUGCACCCCUUGGCCAGACCCUCAUUAGAAGAGGUGUUCUGUCAUCCUUGGAUGCAGGAUAUUCAUCUGCCCUAGAAGAAGGGAGAGAGCCACAGGCACACUGUGCUGCAGGGCCCUGGGAAGGAGAAGGAGCCCCCAGAGAAGCUGUACCGGGGGAGGCUGCUGCUGCAGGAGACAGCGAGGAUGACAUGAAGGAUGACCUGAAGGAUGACAACCUCUUCCUCAACCUGGCCACCAGCAGUUGAAGGUGAUGCACUUUGAUUGUGGCACCUUCUUCAAAGCCAAACUCCACAGAGAAUUUGCAGAUGGGUCCACACCUGGGGAAAUGCUCGCAGAUUUGGGCAUUGCCCAGCCUGGCUGGGAAGCAAAGGUUCCCCCUUUGCUGAGGCAGACGUAGCUGAUCCUUUGUUGUUUGUUUUUCUAGAGGAAGCAUUCUGGUUGGUCCAGUCUGGAUCAGGAAGUUCUUGGG